rnacentral:rRNA from 1 species
CGCGGCCUAUCAGCUUGUUGGUGGGGUAAUGGCCUACCAAGGCGACGACGGGUAGCUGGUCUGAGAGGACGAUCAGCCACACUGGGACUGAGACACGGCCCAGACUCCUACGGGAGGCAGCAGUAGGGAAUCUUGCGCAAUGGGCGAAAGCCUGACGCAGCGACGCCGCGUGCGGGAUGAAGGCCUUCGGGUCGUAAACCGCUUUCAGCAGGGACGAAAUUGACGGUACCUGCAGAAGAAGGCCCGGCCAACUACGUGCCAGCAGCCGCGGUGAUACGUAGGGGUCUAGCGUUGUCCGGAAUCAUUGGGCGUAAAGAGCUCGUAGGCGGUCCGGCAAGUCGGAUGUGAAAUCUCCACGCUCAACGUGGAGGGGCCAUUCGAAACUGCCGUGACUCGAGUCCGGUAGGGGAGUGCGGAAUUCCCGGUGUAGCGGCGAAAUGCGCAGAUAUCGGGAGGAACACCAGUGGCGAAGGCGGCACUCUGGGCCGGAACUGACGCUGAGGAGCGAAAGCGUGGGGAGCGAACAGGAUUAGAUACCCUGGUAGUCCACGCCGUAAACGUUGGGCACUAGGUGUGGGACUCUAUCGACGGGUUCCGUGCCGUAGCUAACGCAUUAAGUGCCCCGCCUGGGGAGUACGG